GCUGUAGCGCAGUGGAUAGCGCGUUGGACUUCUAAUCCAAAGGUCGUGGGUUCGAUCCCCACCAGGGAUG
rnacentral:tRNA from 1 species